GCGCCUGUAGCUCAAUAGGAAGAGAGCAUCUGGCUUCGGACCAGAGGGUUGGGUGUUCGAGUCACCCCAGGCGCA
rnacentral:tRNA from 2 species